AGUAAAAGUCGUAACAAGGUCUCCGUAGGUGAACCUGCGGAGGGAUCAUUACUGAGUGAGGGCCCGCGCGGUCCGACCUCCAACCCCAUGUUUUCCGACUCUGUUGCCUCGGGGGCGACCCGGCCCCGUUGGGUGCCGGGGCCCCCGGCGGUCCACAUCAACUCUGCAUCACGGCGUCCGAGUCACGAUUUGAAUCAAUCAAAACUUUCAACAACGGAUCUCUUGGUUCUGGCAUCGAUGAAGAACGCAGCGAAAUGCGAUAAGUAAUGUGAAUUGCAGAAUUCAGUGAAUCAUCGAAUCUUUGAACGCACAUUGCGCCCCUCGGUAUUCCGGGGGGCAUGCCUGUUCGAGCGUCAUUACACCACUCAAGCCUCGCUUGGUCUUGGGCGUCCGCGGUUCCGCCGCGCGCCUCAAUGUCUCCGGCUGAGCCGUUCGUCUCGAAGCGUUGUGAUCCACAGUCCGCUUGCGAGGGCGACCGGCUUGUUCGCCGUUAAACCCCCCCAUUUUUCAGGUUGACCUCGGAUCAGGUAGGGAUACCCGCUGAACUUAAGCAUAUCAAUAAGCGGAGGA
rnacentral:rRNA from 1 species